rnacentral:rRNA from 1 species
GGCAGCCGCCGCGGGAACACCGGCAGCUCUAGUGGUAGCAGUUUUAUUGGGCCUAAAGCGUCCGUAGCCGGUUUAAUAAGUCUCUGGUGAAAUCCUGUAGCUUAACUGUGGGAAUUGCUGGAGAUACUAUUAGACUUGAGACCGGGAGAGGUUAGAGGUACUCCCAGGGUAGAGGUGAAAUUCUGUAAUCCUGGGAGGACCGCCUGUUGCGAAGGCGUCUAACUGGGACGGUUCUGACGGUGGGGGACGAAAGUUAGGGGCGCGAACCGGAUUAGAUACCCGGGUAGUCCUAACCGUAAACGAUGCGGACUUGGUGUUGGGGUGGCUUUGAGCUGCUCCAGUGCCGAAGGGAAGCUGUUAAGUCCGCCGCCUGGGAAGUACGGUCGCAAGACUGAAACUUAAGGAAUUGGCGGGGGAGCACCACAACGCGUGGAGCCUGCCGGUUUAAUUGGAUUCAACGCCGGACAUCUCACCAGAGGCGACAGCUGUAUGAUAGCCAGGCUGAUGACUUUGCUUGACUAGCUGAGGGGAGGUGCAUGG